rnacentral:lncRNA from 1 species
UCAGAUAUGUAAUAAGUACCUUAGAGCUGAUGGUAGCAGAAGACUACAUGAUUGUGUAUUUAAAUGGAGCAACCCCAAGGCGGAAGAUGCCAGGGCUAGGCUGGAUGAAGAAAUGCUACCAGAUGAUUGACAGACGGUUGCGCAAGAAUUUGAAGUCAUUCAUCAUUGUCCACCCGUCUUGGUUCAUCAGAACAAUCCUUGCAGUGACUCGGCCUUUUAUAAGCUCAAAAUUCAGCAGUAAAAUUAAAUAUGUGUCUAGUUUAUCCGAGCUCAGUGGGUUGAUCCCCAUGGACUGCAUCCACAUUCCAGAGAGCAUCAUCAAACUGGAUGAAGAACUGAGGGAAGCAUCAGAAGCGGCUAAAACUAGCUGCCUUUACAAUGAUCCAGAAAUGACUUCUAUGGAAAAGGACAUUGACAUGAAGCUAAAAGAAAAGCCCUAAUGGCCUGCGGGAGGAAUCGCUCUCUGCUUCGUGAUUUUGCUGGGACACACCUACCUGGAAGCGACAGAAAUGGUGACAUCUCCACUUUGCACCACCUGGUGCCAUUGGAAACCUCGGGGGGGGGGGGGAGGGAUGGGAAGAGAAUUUGUUUACGGUUAACAUAUUUUAUG